GGUUAAGCGACUAAGCGUACACGGUGGAUGCCCUGGCAGUCAGAGGCGAUGAAGGACGUGCUAAUCUGCGAUAAGCGUCGGUAAGGUGAUAUGAACCGUUAUAACCGGCGAUUUCCGAAUGGGGAAACCCAGUGUGAUUCGUCACACUAUCAUUAACUGAAUCCAUAGGUUAAUGAGGCGAACCGGGGGAACUGAAACAUCUAAGUACCCCGAGGAAAAGAAAUCAACCGAGAUUCCCCCAGUAGCGGCGAGCGAACGGGGAGCAGCCCAGAGCCUGAAUCAGUGUGUGUGUUAGUGGAAGCGUCUGGAAAGGCGCGCGAUACAGGGUGACAGCCCCGUACACAAAAAUGCACAUGCUGUGAGCUCGAUGAGUAGGGCGGGACACGUGGUAUCCUGUCUGAAUAUGGGGGGACCAUCCUCCAAGGCUAAAUACUCCUGACUGACCGAUAGUGAACCAGUACCGUGAGGGAAAGGCGAAAAGAACCCCGGCGAGGGGAGUGAAAAAGAACCUGAAACCGUGUACGUACAAGCAGUGGGAGCACGCUUAGGCGUGUGACUGCGUACCUUUUGUAUAAUGGGUCAGCGACUUAUAUUCUGUAGCAAGGUUAACCGAAUAGGGGAGCCGAAGGGAAACCGAGUCUUAACUGGGCGUUAAGUUGCAGGGUAUAGACCCGAAACCCGGUGAUCUAGCCAUGGGCAGGUUGAAGGUUGGGUAACACUAACUGGAGGACCGAACCGACUAAUGUUGAAAAAUUAGCGGAUGACUUGUGGCUGGGGGUGAAAGGCCAAUCAAACCGGGAGAUAGCUGGUUCUCCCCGAAAGCUAUUUAGGUAGCGCCUCGUGAAUUCAUCUCCGGGGGUAGAGCACUGUUUCGGCAAGGGGGUCAUCCCGACUUACCAACCCGAUGCAAACUGCGAAUACCGGAGAAUGUUAUCACGGGAGACACACGGCGGGUGCUAACGUCCGUCGUGAAGAGGGAAACAACCCAGACCGCCAGCUAAGGUCCCAAAGUCAUGGUUAAGUGGGAAACGAUGUGGGAAGGCCCAGACAGCCAGGAUGUUGGCUUAGAAGCAGCCAUCAUUUAAAGAAAGCGUAAUAGCUCACUGGUCGAGUCGGCCUGCGCGGAAGAUGUAACGGGGCUAAACCAUGCACCGAAGCUGCGGCAGCGACGCUUAUGCGUUGUUGGGUAGGGGAGCGUUCUGUAAGCCUGUGAAGGUGUGCUGUGAGGCAUGCUGGAGGUAUCAGAAGUGCGAAUGCUGACAUAAGUAACGAUAAAGCGGGUGAAAAGCCCGCUCGCCGGAAGACCAAGGGUUCCUGUCCAACGUUAAUCGGGGCAGGGUGAGUCGACCCCUAAGGCGAGGCCGAAAGGCGUAGUCGAUGGGAAACAGGUUAAUAUUCCUGUACUUGGUGUUACUGCGAAGGGGGGACGGAGAAGGCUAUGUUGGCCGGGCGACGGUUGUCCCGGUUUAAGCGUGUAGGCUGGUUUUCCAGGCAAAUCCGGAAAAUCAAGGCUGAGGCGUGAUGACGAGGCACUACGGUGCUGAAGCAACAAAUGCCCUGCUUCCAGGAAAAGCCUCUAAGCAUCAGGUAACAUCAAAUCGUACCCCAAACCGACACAGGUGGUCAGGUAGAGAAUACCAAGGCGCUUGAGAGAACUCGGGUGAAGGAACUAGGCAAAAUGGUGCCGUAACUUCGGGAGAAGGCACGCUGAUAUGUAGGUGAAGUCCCUCGCGGAUGGAGCUGAAAUCAGUCGAAGAUACCAGCUGGCUGCAACUGUUUAUUAAAAACACAGCACUGUGCAAACACGAAAGUGGACGUAUACGGUGUGACGCCUGCCCGGUGCCGGAAGGUUAAUUGAUGGGGUCAGCGCAAGCGAAGCUCUUGAUCGAAGCCCCGGUAAACGGCGGCCGUAACUAUAACGGUCCUAAGGUAGCGAAAUUCCUUGUCGGGUAAGUUCCGACCUGCACGAAUGGCGUAAUGAUGGCCAGGCUGUCUCCACCCGAGACUCAGUGAAAUUGAACUCGCUGUGAAGAUGCAGUGUACCCGCGGCAAGACGGAAAGACCCCGUGAACCUUUACUAUAGCUUGACACUGAACAUUGAGCCUUGAUGUGUAGGAUAGGUGGGAGGCUUAGAAGUGUGGACGCCAGUCUGCAUGGAGCCGACCUUGAAAUACCACCCUUUAAUGUUUGAUGUUCUAACGUUGACCCGUAAUCCGGGUUGCGGACAGUGUCUGGUGGGUAGUUUGACUGGGGCGGUCUCCUCCUAAAGAGUAACGGAGGAGCACGAAGGUUGGCUAAUCCUGGUCGGACAUCAGGAGGUUAGUGCAAUGGCAUAAGCCAGCUUGACUGCGAGCGUGACGGCGCGAGCAGGUGCGAAAGCAGGUCAUAGUGAUCCGGUGGUUCUGAAUGGAAGGGCCAUCGCUCAACGGAUAAAAGGUACUCCGGGGAUAACAGGCUGAUACCGCCCAAGAGUUCAUAUCGACGGCGGUGUUUGGCACCUCGAUGUCGGCUCAUCACAUCCUGGGGCUGAAGUAGGUCCCAAGGGUAUGGCUGUUCGCCAUUUAAAGUGGUACGCGAGCUGGGUUUAGAACGUCGUGAGACAGUUCGGUCCCUAUCUGCCGUGGGCGCUGGAGAACUGAGGGGGGCUGCUCCUAGUACGAGAGGACCGGAGUGGACGCAUCACUGGUGUUCGGGUUGUCAUGCCAAUGGCACUGCCCGGUAGCUAAAUGCGGAAGAGAUAAGUGCUGAAAGCAUCUAAGCACGAAACUUGCCCCGAGAUGAGUUCUCCCUGACUCCUUGAGAGUCCUGAAGGAACGUUGAAGACGACGACGUUGAUAGGCCGGGUGUGUAAGCGCAGCGAUGCGUUGAGCUAACCGGUACUAAUGAACCGUGAGGCUUAACCUUAC
rnacentral:rRNA from 1 species